GCGGCAUUCGCGCUCAUCAGCCACAACAACGCACUUCUCUGGCACUUUAUUCGUAGCUGUAAGGACUUCAAAGACACUUUUCAAAGAGAAAUUGGAGAAGCUAAGCUCAUUCUCAUCUUGGGAUCAGACAAUUCUGCAGGUUAAAAGACCUACAACAGCAGUGACGUGUGAGGACCUCGCAGGCGAGAAUCAGCAGGAUGACAAAGCCACAGGAGCUGGAGCUGCGCUGAGCAGAGCAGCAGGUUGGACUGGAAAUGAGCGAGAAGAUGGAUGGCUGGACGAGGAGGGCUCAUCCAGAGGAGGGUCAAGUGCUUCAUCUGGCAUUGCAGUGAGAGUUUCUCCAGCUCCCAUCACAAA